rnacentral:tRNA from 1 species
ACCUGGGUGGCUCAGUCGGUUAAGCGUCUGACUUUGGAUCAGGUCAUGAUCUUGCAGUCCGUGAGUUCGAGCCCCGCAUCAGGCU